rnacentral:rRNA from 1 species
GGGGAAUAUUGCACAAUGGGCGAAAGCCUGAUGCAGCAACGCCGCGUGAGUGAUGACGGUCUUCGGAUUGUAAAGCUCUGUCUUUGGGGACGAUAAUGACGGUACCCAAGGAGGAAGCCACGGCUAACUACGUGCCAGCAGCCGCGGUAAUACGUAGGUGGCAAGCGUUGUCCGGAUUUACUGGGCGUAAAGGGUGCGUAGGCGGACCUUUAAGUGAGAUGUGAAAUCCCCGAGCUUAACUUGGGGGCUGCAUUUCAAACUGGAGGUCUAGAGUGCAGGAGAGGAGAGUGGAAUUCCUAGUGUAGCGGUGAAAUGCGUAGAGAUUAGAAAGAACACCAGUGGCGAAGGCGACUCUCUGGACUGUAACUGACGCUGAGGCACGAAAGCGUGGGGAGCAAACAG